AUCGAUGAAGAACGCAGCGAAAUGCGAUAAGUAAUGUGAAUUGCAGAAUUCAGUGAAUCAUCGAAUCUUUGAACGCACAUUGCGCCCUCUGGUAUUCCGGAGGGCAUGCCUGUUCGAGCGUCAUUACAACCCUCAAGCUCUGCUUGGUAUUGGGCUCUGCCAGUCCUGGCAGGCCUCAAAGUCAGUGGCGGUGCCAUCCGGCUCCAAGCGUAGUAACUCUUCUCGCUUCGGAGGCCGCGGUGCGUGCUAGCCAGCAACCCCCAAUUUUUUUCAGGUUGACCUCGGAUCAGGUAGGGAUACCCGCUGAACUUAAGCAUAUCAAUAAGCGGAGGAAAAGAAACCAACAGGGAUUGCCUCAGUAACGGCGAGUGAAGCGGCAACAGCUCAAAUUUGAAAUCUGGCCUCGCGGCCCGAGUUGUAAUUUGUAGAGGAUGCUUCGAGCAUGGUCUGGCCUAAGUUCCUUGGAACAGGACGUCGUAGAGGGUGAGAAUCCCGUAUGCGGCCGGGUGCCUACGCUCAUGUGAAGCUCCUUCGACGAGUCGAGUUGUUUGGGAAUGCAGCUCAAAAUGGGUGGUAAAUUUCAUCUAAAGCUAAAUAUUGGCCAGAGACCGAUAGCGCACAAGUAGAGUGAUCGAAAGAUGAAAAGCACUUUGGAAAGAGAGUUAAACAGUACGUGAAAUUGUUGAAAGGGAAGCGCUUGCAACCAGACUUGCGCGCGGCCGAUCAUCCGGUGUUCUCACCGGUGCACUCGGUCGUGCUCAGGCCAGCAUCGGUUUCGGUGGUUGGAUAAAGGCCCUAGGAAUGUAGCUUCUCUCGGGGAGUGUUAUAGCCUGGGGUGCAAUGCAGCCUACCGGGACCGAGGACCGCGCUUCGGCUAGGAUGCUGGCGUAAUGGUUGUAAGCGACCCGUCUUGAAACACGG
rnacentral:rRNA from 1 species